rnacentral:rRNA from 1 species
AGAGUUUGAUCCUGGCUCAGAACGAACGCUGGCGGCAUGCCUUACACAUGCAAGUCGAACGGCAGCACGGGAGCAAUCCUGGUGGCGAGUGGCGAACGGGUGAGUAAUAUAUCGGAACGUGCCCAGUCGUGGGGGAUAACGCAGCGAAAGCUGUGCUAAUACCGCAUACGAUCUAUGGAUGAAAGCGGGGGAUCGCAAGACCUCGCGCGAUUGGAGCGGCCGAUAUCAGAUUAGGUAGUUGGUGGGGUAAAGGCCCACCAAGCCGACGAUCUGUAGCUGGUCUGAGAGGACGACCAGCCACACUGGAACUGAGACACGGUCCAGACUCCUACGGGAGGCAGCAGUGGGGAAUUUUGGACAAUGGGCGCAAGCCUGAUCCAGCAAUGCCGCGUGCAGGAUGAAGGCCUUCGGGUUGUAAACUGCUUUUGUACGGAACGAAACGGCGAGCUCUAAUAAAGCUUGCUAAUGACGGUACCGUAAGAAUAAGCACCGGCUAACUACGUGCCAGCAGCCGCGGUAAUACGUAGGGUGCGAGCGUUAAUCGGAAUUACUGGGCGUAAAGCGUGCGCAGGCGGUUUUGUAAGACAGAUGUGAAAUCCCCGGGCUUAACCUGGGAACUGCAUUUGUGACUGCAAGGCUAGAGUACGGCAGAGGGGGGUAGAAUUCCACGUGUAGCAGUGAAAUGCGUAGAUAUGUGGAGGAAUACCGAUGGCGAAGGCAGCCCCCUGGGUCGAUACUGACGCUCAUGCACGAAAGCGUGGGGAGCAAACAGGAUUAGAUACCCUGGUAGUC